rnacentral:rRNA from 1 species
GAUUGCCCGAAACCAGUUUGACCGGCGAACGCGUUUAUCUAAGCCACGGGGGAUGGCAUGAUCUCAUCCUCCCCCGGCGCCGAGAGGCUGCCGCGCGCGGCGCGGCCUCCUGUCGACGAACCCAAACCCCGGCGCUUCGCGCGCCAAGGAUCACGAAAUUGUUCGGUGCGGCCCUCGGGGACUUGGAAACAAUGCCCCGCGGGUCCUGUCACCCCACACGGAAAAAGAAUGACUCUCGGCAAUGGAUAUCUCGGCUCUUGCAUCGAUGAAGAACGUAGCGAAAUGCGAUACUUGGUGUGAAUUGCAGAAUCCCGUGAACCAUCGAGUCUUUGAACGCAAGUUGCGCCCGAAGCCAUUAGGCUGAGGGCAUGCCUGCCUGGGUGUCACACAUCGUUAACCCCCGCGAAGUGUCUCCUCUCGGAGAUAGCGCGUGGUUUGUAGGUUGACCUCCCGCGAGCCGCGUCUCACGGUUGGUUGAAAAUUGGGCUCACGGUCGGGCGUGCCGUGGCAUACAAUGGUGGACGGGCAAUGCCCGAGACCAGCCACGCGCCGUCCAGUCCGGUUUGGCCCAGGGCCCCUGCGGCGUCUUCGGAUGC